AACUUUCAGCAAUGGAUCUCUUGGCUCUCGCAUCGAUGAAGAACGCAGCGAAUUGCGAUAAGUAAUGUGAAUUGCAGAUUUCCAGUGAAUCAUCGAAUCUUUGAACGCACCUUGCGCUCCUUAGUUAUUCUGAGGAGCAUGCCUGUUUGAGUGUCAUUAAAUUCUCAACCACAUCUUCUUUGAUUGUGGCUUGGAUAGUGGGGGUUAUAUUUGCAGGCUUUUUGAAAAAGAAGUCUGCUCCCCUGAAAUGAAUUAGUGGUUUAGGAACUACUACAGGUGUGAUAAUCUAUCUAUGCCUUGGUAAUACUGCUGCACUGCUUCCAAUCAAUGACUUGACCAAUUUGACCUCAAAUCAGGUAGGACUACCCGCUGAACUUAAGCAUAUCAAUAAGCGGAGGCU
rnacentral:misc_RNA from 1 species